GCUGGGCGUGGUGGCACUUGCCUGUAGUGCCAGCUACUCAGGAGACUGAGGCAGGAGGAUCACUUGAGCCCAGUUCUGAGCUGUGUGCUAUGCCAAUCAGGUGUCCACACUAAAUUCAGGAUCAAUAUGGUGACAUCCCGGGAGUGGGAGACCACCAGGUUCAAGUUGCCUAAGAAGGGGUAAACAGGCCUACAUCAGAAACAGAGCAGGUCAUAACUCAUGUUGAUCAGUAGAGGCAUCACAUCUGUGAAUAGCCACUGCAGUCCAGCCUGGACAACACAGUGAGACCCCCCCAUCU
rnacentral:SRP_RNA from 1 species